rnacentral:misc_RNA from 1 species
UUUCCGUAGGUGAACCUGCGGAAGGAUCAUUAUUGUAUAACCGAGGUGCGAGGGCUGUCGCUGGGCCGAAAGGUCGUGCACGCCCGAGUGCCCGCACACACAUCCAUCUCACCCCUAUGUGCACCACCGCGUGGGUCCCCCUUUGGCUUGUUCGGAGGGGGGCUUACGUUUUCACACAAACUUUGUAUGCAGUGUAGAAUGUAUUUUUUGUUUUUGCGAUCACGCAAUCAAUACAACUUUCAACAACGGAUCUCUUGGCUCUC